rnacentral:rRNA from 1 species
CGUGGGUAACCUGCCCAAGAGAUCGGGAUAACACCUGGAAACAGAUGCUAAUACCGGAUAACAAUAGAUGAUGCCUAUCAACUGUUUAAAAGAUGGUUCUGCUAUCACUCUUGGAUGGACCUGCGGUGCAUUAGCUAGUUGGUAGGGUAACGGCCUACCAAGGCGAUGAUGCAUAGCCGAGUUGAGAGACCGAUCGGCCACAUUGGGACUGAGACACGGCCCAAACUCCUACGGGAGGCAGCAGCC